UACGUAGGGUGCAAGCGUUGUCCGGAAUUAUUGGGCGUAAAGCGUGCGCAGGCGGUUAUGUAAGACAGGUGUGAAAUCCCCGGGCUUAACCUGGGAACUGCAUUUGUGACUGCAUAGCUAGAGUACGGUAGAGGGGAUGGAAUUCCGCGUGUAGCAGUGAAAUGCGUAGAUAUGCGGAGGAACACCGAUGGCGAAGGCAAUCCCCUGGACCUGUACUGACGCUCAUGCACGAAAGCGUGGGGAGCAAACAGG
rnacentral:rRNA from 1 species